rnacentral:rRNA from 1 species
AUGAGCAGCAGCGAAGGGAGGGUCCGCCACCUCCUCUGGACAGAGAGAGAGAGAGAGAGAGAGAGAGAGAGAGAGAGAGAGAGAGAUAGAGAGAGAGCGAAUCCACCAGAGAGGGAGGGCGUCGCCGGCGUUGUGAACCCAUGCGGGCGCAACAGGGUGUGCUCGUGCCUCAGCGGGUUGCGCCGCGGUGGCCGGAGGCGUCGGCACCGCGGGUCAACCGUGUCGGGCAGGAUGGGCACCGCACGCCGUGGUCGUCGGAUCCGUCCGCUGCGUGUCCGGCUCCGGCACCUGGCGGCUUGGCGAGGCAGGCGGGGGAGCAGGGAGGGGAGGGGUGAGGGCAGCGAGGCCCUCACGUGCCGCGAUGGGCGGCGGCGACCUGUUCGCCCUCGACUUUGA